rnacentral:misc_RNA from 1 species
CGCAUGAGCAGCAGGACGGAUAACGUCCUCCAGUCAAUACGAGACCGACAAGCAUACGUAAGGGACAGUUGAUUCGGGCAAAAAGGGUCGAGGACCCCGACCGAUCAUUGCUUCUACAUACAAGACUUCGAGCAACACAUGGACAUCCGAUGCCUGCUAGCUAAAUAAGCAAAGCAAGGGCGAACGUCCAGUGGAGCUUUAGGGUCUACGUCGCACAAAAGUUUUAGCACGAGAUAGAGUAGGGACCAUGGGACUCGAGAAUUCCCUGAAAGUAGGUAUGAUGCACAGGGGGCCAAAUCAAUUCGAGGCACGAAAAUUUAGCACUCGAAUAGAACUGAACAGGUAUGAACCAGCGGUUGUCGCUGCCGAAACAGGGAACCAACCAACCGAAACAUACC